AAAACUGAAUGUGGAUGUGGACCCUGAAGCUGAGGGUCUGGAGGAUGCUGAAGUACAUUCUGUCUGGCACCAGAAUCCUGGUGCUCUGACCUCUCUCCCUCACACAGAAGUUCAGUUAACCUCCUUUCUGCCAUGAUGAUAAAUGUGUCGAGUGAAUACAUAUAGCAAAAUUAAACUAUAAGGAUUACAAAAUGAUACAUGACAACAGUAAGACAAAGCACUAUUAGAUACAGCCAUACAGGUGAUAGCUAGCAAUAAUAUGAGAAAACACACGUAAUUUGACAGAGCUUUCAAUAAAGUCAGCAAGCUAAUUAAAUACACAAAAACUAAAUAUUCUCCCUGCACGAGUAAUCAACUCUCGUUCAUAUGUAAGACAAGCAUAAGGAGCUUGCUAUUGAGUAUACAACAACGAAAGCAAAACCCAAAAGCGAAUUAACAAGAACAAGAAAAUAAACGACAAUCACACAAAACAAAGAUUUACGUGGUUCGGAAAAUCCUACUCCACAAGCCCCACUAAUUUUAUUGAUCUCUCACAAUUUGUUGUGUUGUGAUUUUACAAUUACAUGGGAGUAUUUAUAAGAGAAGAAACUGGCUUAACCAAAAUAGGAGUCUGACUUUGAAAUACCUAACUCUAAUAGGAGUCCAAUAUUUCUAACCAAAUUAUAAUCCUAUUCUGAAUCUGACUCCACAAACCCAACAAUCUCCCACUUGGAGUCUGACCUCAUCUUCACUUCACUUCACUUGUAAAUCUAGUAAAACCCAUUACUUUAAUCAAUAACUCAAACUAGUGUGGCGCCUUCUCAUCAAUCAAUUCUGAAGGCCAGUUGAAGCUAUGCAAAGUUUCAACUUUUCACUGGUAACCACCUUAGUCAACAUAUCUGCAUGAUUCUCUGAACCAAUGAUUUUCUUCAAGGACAAAGUAUUAUUUUUCUCGAGAGAAUUCAUCUCUUCUUCCAUGGCUGAUUUUCAUUGAACUGAAUCAUCCACUUGAACUGCCUUUGAAUAACACUGAGACUCUCCAUCCUCGAUCAAUAACAUAUAAUAUGCUGAAGGUGAAAAUCUUUGUGGUGGCUUCACAAUUCUGCUAGAUCUUCUUACCUCAGCCUCUAGAAUAACUGGAACAUUAUCUGCACUCCCACUAUUUCUUGCAAGAUCUUUUUCUGUAAUAUCAUCAAGCACCGCCUUCUCUUUUUCAGGUUGUUCCUUUGUAAAUUCAGAAUCGACUGCAAGAUUAUCCUUAUAUACUGCAUUCUCAUUAAAAGUAACAUCUCUACUUCUAACAACCUUCUUCAUUUGUUCAUCCCAAAAACGAUAACCCAUAUCAUCGAGCCAUAACCAAUGAAGAUACACUUCUUCGCUUUCGAAUCAAGCUUGUCCCUGUCAGAAUCUUUAACACGCACAUAAGAAACACACCAAAAAACUCGCAAGUGUGAAAAAUUUACCUCCUUUCCCUGCCACUCUUCUUCCNUUCAGAAUCGACUGCAAGAUUAUCCUUAUAUACUGCAUUCUCAUUAAAAGUAACAUCUCUACUUCUAACAACCUUCUUCAUUUGUUCAUCCCAAAAACGAUAACCCAUAGCAUCGAGCCAUAACCAAUGAAGAUACACUUCUUCGCUUUCGAAUCAAGCUUGUCCCUGUCAGAAUCUUUAACACGCACAUAAGAAACACACCAAAAAACUCGCAAGUGUGAAAAAUUUACCUCCUUUCCCUGCCACUCUUCUUCCGGAAUCUUGAACCCCAAAGGAACUGAAGGUCCCCUAUUUAUGAGAUACGCCGCUGUGCUAACUGCAUCUGCCCAAAACAUCUUUGGCAACCCUGCAUGUAAUCUCAUACUCUUGACCCUCUCAUUCAAGGUUCUAUCUAUGCGCUCCGCAACCCCAUUCUGUUGUAGUGUCUCUGGAAUAGUUUUAGUCAUUCUAAUCCCAUAUUCUGCGCAAUAACUUUUAAACUCAUCACUACUAUACUCACCACCAUUAUCUGAAAUCAAACUCUUAACCUUGAAACCAGUUUGAUUUUCAACUCAGUCUUCCACUUCUUAAAAGUAACGAACACCUCUGAUUUAUUUUUCAUAAAAUAAACCCAUACCUUUCUAGUGGAAUCAUCAAUGAAAGUGACAUAGUAGCGAGAUCCUCCAAGUGACGCAACUAUUGCUGGACCAUAUACAUCCGUAUGAAUUAGCUCCAACUUCUCCGCCUUGGGUGUCCUCCCUGAUUUUGCAAAAGUAACCCGUUCUUGUUUUCCAAGAACACAUGGCUCGCAGAAACCAACUUCCACAUUCUUCAGCUCUGGAAUCUUCCCCUUGGAAGCUAACAUCUUCAUACCCUUUUCACUCAUAUGUCCAAGCCUUUGGUGCCAAAAAGUUAAGGAACCAAUCUCAUCUGCAAUUGAAUUUACUUCACAGCUAGAUCGUUCAACUAUAUACAACGUCCCUUUUUCCUCACCGCGAGCAACAACAAAAUUCCCCUUUAUAACCUUCCAUUGUCCAUCUCCGAAAGUAACUCGAUACCCCUCCUUGUCUAACUGACUCACAUAUAACAUCUUCGGUCCAGGAAUAUACCUUAAAUUCCAGUCAGUUCCUAAAGAGGUUUUGAGAUUAAUAUCUCCCAUGCCCACAAUAUCCAAAGUCUCAUCAUCAGCAAGACAAACUUUACCAAAAUUUUCAGCUCUGAAAUUUAACAUAAAAUCCUUGCAAGGGGUAGCAUGGAAUGACGCACCGGAAUCCAUAACCCUGAUUCAACAGAACAUUCAACACAGCAAAUCAACGCAUCAUCAUUCACCACUUCUUCAACUAUAUUAGCCGAAUCAUCCUCUUUCUUCUUACCUUUAGGAGCUGCGGGAGCCGUACACUGAUCUGAAGUGACCCUUCUUUUGACAAUUCCAACAAACAAUAUUCUUGCGAUCUUUGGAUUGUCCUCUCUUCUGUGACUUUGACCAGUGACGCCCCUGAUUCUGCCCCCUUUCGGUCUUUCCGCCUCUACCCUCAGCACUCAACAAGGAACCUGACGACUCUCCUAAGUUUCUCCUACGAAUAUCUUCUCCAAGAAUCGAAUCUCGAACUCCAUCAAAAGUCAUCUUACCACUCCCUGAUGAAUUACAAAUUAUAGUGACAAAUCCUGACCACCUAUCCGGUAAAGUGGAUACCAACAAUAAGAAUUGUACUUCAUCAUCGAAUUUAAUAUCAACAGAUGUCAGUCUUGAUAGGAUAGAAUUAAAUUCGUUUACAUGAUCAGCAACACAAUCACCUUCAUUCAAUUUCGUGGCAAAUAAUAAGCGAAUCAGAUAUACCUUAUUUGAAGCAGACGGCUUCUCAUACAUGUUUGAUAAAGCCUUGAUCAAUCCAUAAGUUGUCGUUUCCUUGACAAUAUUGUAAGCAACGUUCUUCGCCAAAGCCAAUCUGACAACACCCAGAGCCUGCCUGUCCAAUAACAACCCAAAAUCUCUUCCAUUGAAUUUGUUGAUCUUUACUUCCCCAUCUUCUGCCAUCGCUCCCACUUGCCUGAAACCUCAGCUCUUGAUACCAGUUGUUGGGCCAGCUAAGCGAGCCUAACUCCACAAUAGUACGAUAUUGUCCGCUUUGGGCCUAGCCCGCACGGCUUUUUUUUUUUGCACCUCCCAAAAGGCCUCGUACUAUUGGAGUUGUUGUGGCUGCUUAUAUUCCAGCUUUAUGUCCCUCCCACAACCAAUGUGGGACAACUCCUAACACUUGCAACUCUAAUACACAAACUGAACACCCAAACACACACAAGUUGUUUACACAAAAAGAUAGUUUUAAUAAUCAAACAUGUAUACAAUCCCUUGCACCAAUUUUAACACUAGAAUGUUUAAAACAUAACAGCUUCAAGAAUUAAAACAAUAAAUAGCAAUAUAUCAAGAUCAAAAUCAGAAAAUAUGUUUUACAUGCACUAAUCUGACUAUCAAAAAUCCCUAACAUCAUAAUUUCAAACUUAUAUAUACAGAAAAAACAACCAUAUAUGGAGUAUGGACGGCCCUCCUUAAAAUAUUUGUACACAAAAAACAAUGGCAACAGAUAUAUAUGUACAAUAAUAGAUAGAUAUAUGAGCAUUAAAACUAUAAACCAUGUAAGCCAUCAAAGUAAAGAAUUGGUUUUGCAUAUGCAAGUGGAUAACCUAAUAUAAAUACUUCCCUUCAACUUUAUAAAAAAAAUUAUAGAAAAAUGGCCAAAUCGGCAAUCGCAUUGAAGAUGUAAAAAGAACAACAAAAUUAAAAUUUCAUAUAAUGAUUAAACGAACACCUCAAAUCAAUACAGAUCCAAGCAAAUACACUGUAAAAAACAUAAAAAUCGACUAGAUCUAACUAAAACAAAUACAAUCGGUAAAAAUUAACGAGAUACAACCGAAAACAAUGUAAAAUCUAUUUUAAAAAGGGGGCAUAGGAGACCAGUAAUGUACAUCUCAUAAAAUGAUUAAACAAAUACCUCAAAUCAAUACAGAUUUAAGCAAAAACGAUGUGAUAAACCUAAAAAUCAAGUAGAUCAUCCAACGAGACAUAUACAAUCGGUAAAAAAUUAAUGAGAGUAACCGAAAAUAAUGUGAGAGCUACUUAAAAAUGGGAGGACGGGAUACUAGUAAAUGCACGUCGACCACUCUUUGAUGGAAAAAUACUAUAUCUACCAACCGCACCACAGAGCCGCACACCCGCCUAUUUAUUUUAUAACAUGUUUUAAUAAGUUUUUUAUUCAUAACUAAAACACAUUUAAUCAUUCGUCUCAAAACAUAUCUCUCGGGCCUAUUUAUUUUCAAGUCUUUUAACGGGCCAAAUUAUCAAAAAUUAUUUAAUGCCCAAUAAAAAUACAUUAACCCAAAGAGGCCUAUUAAUAGCUAAUAAUCUUUUAGUUAAAAUAUGUAUAUUAUUCCAACAAAAAUGUAUCUUCAAAACAAAAUAACAUACUAUAACAUAUAUCUUAAAUCUUUGUAAGUUUAUCAUAUUAAGUGCUUCUUUCCUAAAGCAAGCUCAACAAUUUUAUCCACUAAAUUCGAGCACAAUUUCAAAUCAUAGCCAACUAACACAAUUAAUACUGCCUAAACUAAUCUCUCACAAGAUUGCACAUCAAGGUGGCACUUUUUACUUUUUUUAUGUAUCAGCACUGAAGGAAUCAAAACAUGGACUUGACAUUGCUAAUAAGUAAUAUUCUUUACACUGCAAUAAUGUUUCUCAAUUUCAAACAAAUAGUACAGCAAUAAUCAAUUUAUUUGUGGGUAUUAAUAUGAGUUAUAUUGCUUGCUAUGGUGAAGCGUUGUUAAGUUUCAAAUUAAAUUUCCAUCAUAUCUAAUCAUUUGCAUGUUAUUGGCAAUGAAAGUAAUGUCGUGCAGAACACUUAAGCAGUUGCAGAUGAGGAGUUGUUAAAGAUAUUUCAAGAGUAGGUAUGCAUAAUUAAUUAAAGAAGUGGUGUUGUAUAUUAGUUGUAUUGAUUAAUGAAGCAUAACAAGAAGACAAUGGGAUUUUUGUUAUGCACCAUAUGGAGAAUUGACUUAUAUGGUAACGUAAAUAGGUUUAGAUGUGGACUACCUAUUAAAAAUGUAAGUGAUGCGAGAGCGAGACAUGGGUUUACUUUAAUUUCAUGUGUUAGCAAUAGUAAGUGUGGCAAAACAAUUGAAACUGCAUUUUCUAACAAACAUGGCUAUCAACAUUUUCUAGUCGGUAAGCCGGGUAAGGUAUAUUGCUGCCAUAUCCUUACUUAGACAAGAAACAGUAAAAGACAACUAACUGCGGAUGGGGUAGCAACUUACAUCAUAAACGGAAACUGAAAAAUGAAGCAAUUGCAGAUGAUGAUCAGUAUAACGAUUGUGCAAGGAAACCCACAGCAAAGCUGCAUGUCCUUGAAAUUGAGAUGAUAUGGUCUUUAAUUUAAUAGAAGUUGUUUAAAUUACUGAGAUUCUGUUGAGAGUUUCUGAAUAUAUGAAAUAUUAGACAUAUUGCAAACUUUAGAGCAGGUACGGGUUUAGUUUUGAGUCUUUAACUAUUAUAUUGGUUAUGAUAUUUACUCCCUCCAUUUUUUCUACUAAGUUUUGGCACGCAACUUUAGAUGCUUUAACUGCAUAGUAAAAUUCAUUAUUUGCGAUUAAUUUUUUUGUGAAUUAAGAUUUUAAUCAUAUAUUUUAAUUCAGAAAAAUAAAAUUAAAAAAAUAAUAAUUUUAGCUAUCUGGUCAAAGUACCUAAAGAUGUAUGCCAAAAGUCAAAGCAUCAAAUUGAAAAAACAGGAGUACUUCAAGAUGAUUUUGAUAUAAUGCAAGGAUGCAGUUUCUUUUGUUUUGAUGUGUAUAAGUUAGUAAGUUUAUUAUGAUUGUUUUUUUUCUAUAAAAAUAUGAAAAACUAUGGUUGCAAUAACAAUGUUUGUGCUAAUGUGCACAAAGGUCAGGUGAUUAGAACAACAGGGGUACUGCUUGUGAUUAAAGUGAAGUGGCAUGACAAAGUAGUUGGUUAAGUCUUGAUUUGGAGUAUAGCUUUGUGUAUUGCCAUUAAGCUUAUCUGGAAUAGGUUGUCAGAAUAUGAGGAUGAUGAUGGAUACAGGGCAGUAGAACGUAGUGUAUUUGUUUUGACCAUAAUGAUAUGUGUGGGACUAGUUGUUGUAGAGAAUGUAAAGGACAAUGUCCCAGUGAAUGUAGCAAUACAGAAUCUUUGUAUACAACUUUAGCACAUGAUACAUCAGUAGAUUAGUCACAUGGCUAUGCUCAAAACUGGUACUUCAUUUUACAGUAUGAAAUCAGUUGACAUGGCAACUUAAAGCAUGCAACAUUUUUCAGAUAUUAGUGUACCACACACUAGAACAUAGAUUCAUCAAAACAUUAGUGCAAGUAGAUAUCCUAAACUUAAUACUUCCCUUCAACUUUAUUAAAAAAAAUAUAUAAAAAUGGCCAAAUCGCAUUGAAGAGUAAAAAGAACAACAAAUUUAAAUUUUUAUAUAAUAAUUAAACGAAAACCUCAAAUCAAUACAGCUCUGAGCAAAUACACUAUAAAAAACAUACAAAUCAACUAGAUCUAGCUAAAAGAAAUACAAUCGGUAAAAAUUAACAAGAUACAACCGAAAACAAUGUAAAAUUUAUUUUAAAAAGGGAGCAUAACAGACCAGUAAUGUAAAUCUCAUAAAAUGAUUAAAAUAAUACCUCAAAUCAAUACAGAUCUAAGCAAAUAAGCUGUGAUAAACAAAUAAGCAAUUUGAGAAUUUGAAAUUACAACUCAAAUCAUGUCAUUUGAAAUCCAUCGUUUCAAAUGAAAUGCAUGUUUCCAAACGGCCCCUAAGAUUAAUUAGAAAUGAGUGGCUUAGAUAUUAAAUAACUGAACGGCAAACUAGUAUAUAUUACAACAGUGGGACUGCUUGUGAUUAAAGUGAAGUUACAUGACAAAGUAGUUGGUUAAGUCUAGAUUUCGAGUAUAGCUUUGUGUAUUGCAAUUAAGCUUAUCAGAAUAGGUUGUCAGAAUAUGAUGAUGAUGGAUACUGGGCAGUAGAACGUAGUGUAUUUGUUUUGAGUAUAAUGAUAUUUGCGGGACUAGUUGUAGUAGAGAAAGUAAAGGACAAUGUCCCUGUGAAUGUAGCAAUACAGAAUCUUUGUAUACAACUCUAAGCACAUGGUACAGCACUAAAUUAGUCACAUGGCUAUGCUCAAAACUGGUACUUCAUUUUACAUAUGAAAUCAGUUGAUAUGGCAACUUAAAGCAUGCAACAUUUUUCAAAUAUUAGUGUACUACACACUAGAACAUAGAUUUAUCUAAAACAUUAGUUCCCAAUGGAAGGAUAGCCUAUUAAAGGACUAGAAUUUGAGCUGUCUAUAUUAAAAGAAACCACAGAGUUUGAAACAUGUCAUGAGCUAAUUAACACCAAAAACACAAAUCCACAGACGAAAGCGCUCAGGACUUCUGCAAAAUCUUAGCCACUAUAUAUUUGAUAUUAAAAACGUGGUACGGUACCAUACCUUCCCACGCAUCCCCUCCACGUCCACCUUCGACACAAAAAAACAAAGCCUAUUUGCUACUUUGUCCAUCACCAAAUUCACU
rnacentral:lncRNA from 1 species